rnacentral:rRNA from 1 species
UACGUAGGGUGCAAGCGUUAAUCGGAAUUACUGGGCGUAAAGCGUGCGCAGGCGGUUCGCUAAGACAGAUGUGAAAUCCCCGGGCUUAACCUGGGAACUGCAUUUGUGACUGGCGGGCUAGAGUAUGGCAGAGGGGGGUAGAAUUCCACGUGUAGCAGUGAAAUGCGUAGAGAUGUGGAGGAAUACCGAUGGCGAAGGCAGCCCCCUGGGCCAAUACUGACGCUCAUGCACGAAAGCGUGGGGAGCGAACGGG